rnacentral:tmRNA from 1 species
AAUCUUUCCACCUGCCUCAUUUCAUCCUAUAAUUCGUUUGUCGAUGCAAGUCGACUAUAGCGAUAAACGUAUUAUGGAAUAAGCAGAGCGGACCCGGGGGCGGUACCCGGCGCCUCCACCAUAUUAAACAAGCUUUGAAGAUAUAAAUUUAUUACUUGUCAUAUCAAGAUGAAUAUUUAUCUCAUAGCUCUAUUUGGGGGCGAAAUAGGAUCGACGCAUGUAGUAAAGAUUGUAUUUUCGCUCGGUAUGAUAUCCGCCGUUAUCGGGUCAAUGUAGUAGUUGCAAAUGACAACACUGCUCCGGUUGCAAUGGCUGCGUAAUGCAGUUUGAGUAACCAACUUUUAAGUCCUGUCGGAUUGAGCUCUGGCAGGCGGGGUUCGAGGGUGCACCUGGCAACAGAAGCCCCUCACU